AUUGAACGCUGGCGGCAUGCCUUACACAUGCAAGUCGAACGGCAUCGCGGGAAAGCUUGCUUUCCUGGCGGCGAGUGGCGAACGGGUGAGUAACACAUCGGAACGUACCGGCUAGUGGGGGAUAACCCGUCGAAAGACGGGCUAAUACCGCAUACGCUCUUCGGAGGAAAGCAGGGGACCUUUGGGCCUUGCGCUAGCCGAGCGGCCGAUGUCCGAUUAGCUAGUUGGUGGGGUAAAGGCCUACCAAGGCGACGAUCGGUAGCGGGUCUGAGAGGACGAUCCGCCACACUGGGACUGAGACACGGCCCAGACUCCUACGGGAGGCAGCAGUGGGGAAUCUUGGACAAUGGGGGCAACCCUGAUCCAGCAAUGCCGCGUGGGUGGAGAAGGCCUUCGGGUUGUAAAGCCCUUUCGGCAGGGAAGAAAUCGGCGGGGCGAAUAACCCUGCUGGAUGACGGUACCUGCAGAAGAAGCACCGGCUAACUACGUG
rnacentral:rRNA from 1 species